GCCUGGCGUGAUGGCGGGCGCCUGUAGUCCCAGCUACUCGGGAGGCUGAGGCAGGAGAAUGGCGUGAACCCGGGAGGCGGAGCUUGCAGUGAGCCGAGAUCGCGCCACUGCACUCCAGCCUGGGCGACAGUGUGACACUGUGUCUCAGGGAAAAAGAAAAAAAAAAAAGAACUAUAAGGUAAUAAAGUUUUUUUUUUUUUUUUUU
rnacentral:sRNA from 1 species